AACGAACGCUGGCGGCAUGCCUAACACAUGCAAGUCGAACGAGACCUUCGGGCCUAGUGGCGCACGGAUGCGUAACGCGUGGGAACCUGCCCUUAGGUUCGGAAUAACUCCCCGAAUGGGGUGCUAAUACCGGAGAAUGUCUUCGGACCAAAGAUUUAUCGACUUUGGAUGGGCCCGCAUUGGAUUAACUAGUGGGUAGGGUAAAACGCUAUCAAGGCGACGAUCGAUAGCUGGUCUGAGAGGAUGAGCAGCCACACUGGUACUGAGACACGGCCCAGACUACUACGGGAGGCAGCAGUGGGGAAUAUUGGACAGUGGGCGGAGUGCUGAUCCUGCACUGCCGCGUGAGUGAUGAAGGUCUUAGGGUUGUAAAGCUCUUUUACCCGGGAUGAUAAUGACAGUACCGGGAGAAUAAGCUCCGGCUAACUCCGUG
rnacentral:rRNA from 1 species